rnacentral:rRNA from 1 species
GGGAGGCAGCAGUGAAAAUUUUCAACAAGGGGAGCAACCCUGAUCCAGCAAUGCCGCGUGGAUGAAGAAGUCCUUCGGGUUGUAAACUCCUUUUGUCCGGGACGAAAAGCUCCUGGUUUAAUACCGGGGGGAUAUGACGGUACCGGAAGAAAAACCCCCGGCUACCUACGUGCCAACAGCCGCGGUAAUACGGAGGGCGCGAGAGUUUAUCGAAAUUACGGGGCGUAAAGCGUGCGCAGGCGGUGUUGUAAGACAGAUGUGAAAUCCCCGGGCUCAACCUGGGAAAUGCAUUUGAGACUGCACGGCUUGAGUGUGGGAGAGGGGGUUGGAAUUCCGCGUGUAGCAGUGAAAUGCGUAGAUAUACGGAGGAACACCGAUGGCGAAGGCAAUCCCCUGGGCCUGCACUGACGCUCAUGCACAAAAGCGUGGGGAGCAAACAGGAUAAGAUACCCUGGUAGUCCCCGCCCUAAAAGAUGUCAACUGGUUGUGGGGAAUUUGCUUUCUCAGUAACGAAGCUAACGCAUGAAGUUGACCGCCUGGGUGAGUA